rnacentral:rRNA from 1 species
GACGAACGCUGGCGGCGUGCUUAACACAUGCAAGUCGAACGAUGAAGCCUAGCUUGCUAGGUGGAUUAGUGGCGAACGGGUGAGUAAUACGUGAGUGACCUAUCUUUGACUCUGGGAUAAGCCUGGGAAACUGGGUCUAAUACCGGAUACGACCAAUCUCCGCAUGGGGUGUUGGUGGAAAGCGUUAUGGAGUGGUUUUAGAUGGGCUCACGGCCUAUCAGCUUGUUGGUGAGGUAAUGGCUUACCAAGGCGACGACGGGUAGCCGGCCUGAGAGGGUGACCGGCCACACUGGGACUGAGACACGGCCCAGACUCCUACGGGAGGCAGCAGUGGGGAAUAUUGCACAAUGGGCGCAAGCCUGAUGCAGCGACGCCGCGUGAGGGAUGACGGCCUUCGGGUUGUAAACCUCUGUUAGCAUCGAAGAAGCGAAAGUGACGGUAGGUGCAGAGAAAGCGCCGCUAAUAC